UACGUAGGGUGCAAGCGUUGUCCGGAAUUAUUGGCGUAAAGAGCUCGUAGGCGGUUCUGUCGCGUCGGCUGUGAAAACCCGGAGCUCAACUUCCGGGCCUGCAUGUCGAUACGGGCAAACUGGAGUACUGCGAAGGGGAGACUGGGAAUUCCUGGGUGAUAGCGGUGAAAUGCGCAGACUAUCAGGAGGAACACCGGUGGCGAAGGCGGCAUCCUG
rnacentral:rRNA from 1 species